GACGAACGCUGGCGGCGUGCUUAACACAUGCAAGUCGAACGGAAAGGCCCUGCUUUUGUGGGGUGCUUGAGUGGCGAACGGGUGAGUAACACGUGAGUAACCUGCCCUUGACUUUGGGAUAACUUCAGGAAACUGGGGCUAAUACCGGAUAGGAGCUUCUGCUGCAUGGUGGGGGUUGGAAAGUUUCGGCGGUUGGGGAUGGACUCGCGGCUUAUCAGCUUGUUGGUGGGGUAGUGGUUUACCAAGGCUUCGACGGGUAGGCGGCCUGAGAGGGUGACCAGCGACAUUGGGACUGAGGGACGGAGCAGACGGGUACGGGAGGCAACAGGGGGGAAUAUGGCACAAUGGGGGGAAGCGUGAUGCGACGGCGCCGCGUGCGGGAUGACGGCUUUCGGGUUGUAAACAGCUUUCGCCUGAGACGAAGCGUGAGUGACGGUAACGGAUAAAGAAGCACCGGCUAACUACGUG
rnacentral:rRNA from 1 species